UACGGGGGGAGCAAGCGUUGUUCGGAUUUACUGGGCGUAAAGGGCGCGUAGGCGGCCAGCACAAGUCAGUUGUGAAAUCUCCGAGCUUAACUCGGAAAGGUCAACUGAUACUGUGCGGCUAGAGUGCAGAAGGGGGCAACUGGAAUUCUUGGUGUAGCGGUGAAAUGCGUAGAUAUCAAGAGGGAACACCUGCGGCGAAGGCGGGUUGCUGGGCUGACACUGACGCUGAGACGCGAAAGCGUGGGGAGCGAACAGG
rnacentral:rRNA from 1 species